CAAGCCCAGCUGAGAGGGAGCUUGGGAGGAGGGAUCUCAGGGAUGCUGUGUCCCAGCCGCCCCCUGGCCACCGCCUCCGCCUGGGUGUGGCUGCUUUGACGUGUCCCCCUGAGCAGGGACAGCAGUUCUAUCGUGAGCCUUGAGUAUGAAGGUGCCUCUUGAGAUCAUGCAUGAAGACACAGGCUGGAGGAUCCUGAAGCCAAGUUCUGGGCUGUCUCCCUGGAUCUCAAAGGUCCCCCGUGGGGUCAGGCCAUAUAGCAUGCACUCAGGCAAUGCCUGCUGAGUGAAUAAGGGAUUUGUGACUCAAGCAAAUGAGGGGACAAAUGGAGGUCGAGAUUGUCUGUGUGCAGAAUGCUGUCCGAAUGUCCCGGCAUGCCUGUGAUUUGGGGCCUGUCUUUCCCAGGGAUGGUGAAUGCUGCAGAGAA